rnacentral:antisense_RNA from 1 species
GUGGCCACAGCCCGACAGCGUGACGGACGCCAGGUUGGGGCACCUGUGAGGAGAGUGCGGUGACCCGGGGCUCACUGGCCUGUUAAAGCUACCCAACCGCCCCAUGGGACCGAGUGGACUCAUUUACCGAGGAGGACUCGGGCCCUGCGAGGUCACUUCAUCCUGGCCCAGGUACUGCAGCUCCAAAUCGUGGGGAUUCUGUAAGAGCUUGCUACCUGUUGACUGAGGAGGCCCACGAGUCGAGCAAAAAGAAUGAUUCCUCAGCAGUCACUGUGAAAUUUUGUGGGCCACAAGUAUUGUGCACACAUGAUCCUUGAUUUAGAGUCAACCUGAUAUCCAUUACAGCUGUGGAAAGGCAGCAGGCAGUUGUGUCGCUCUUCACAAUAAGGAACACAUCUUGCUUUCAGCAUGUGAGAGGAACAAAAGCAUUGAUGUAAAUGUGCCUCAAAGUGAGAACUGAAAACAUUAACAUAAAAUAAAAAAGUCAAAUAAGACUAAGUUCUUACAA